UACAAAGGAUGAAGGGGGUGCUAGGCAGGCUCGCGCCGUCCACGUGUCGCUAUGAAUAGUGCCGGCGAAGCAAGCGUUGCGUCCCGCGCGCGCCGCGAGCAGAGAAGCGACCGAGAGAGAAAAGAGAGCGGUUCUCAAAAAAAGAGAGAGAAAAGAGAGCGAGCGAGCAGCUGUAGCGAGAGACAAAAGUAGCGAUGCCAGUGACCUAAACCGCAUCCCCCCUUCUCCAGAGAGAGAGAGAGAAGAUGAGAGGGAGAAGAAGUAAGGAAGGGAGGGUGAACGAGAGGAAAGAGGAGAGGGAGGUGCGGCUCCGCCGCCGCCUUCUCUCCCUGCCUCUUCCGCGGUGGUCGAGGUGCAGCAGCGUGGGCGCCGCCAGGUUCUCGAUCCAGUCGGAUCUGGCGCCGGUCGCCGUCCCCGUCGCCUCGUCUUCUUUCUUUCCAACCCACCGCCUCCGAGCUUCUGCUCCUGCUACGUCUCCUUCUCCCUUCCCGCCGCGGGAGCAGUCAUCGCUGCGCCCUCGCCCCCGCACGCCGUCCUUCCGCGCGCCUCACCAGCCACCACCAGCAGCAGCGUAGGGAGCCAAUGGGAAGGGGGUCCAAGGCCAAAUCCUGCUUCAGCGGAGGCCAUGCCUGAGGCGGAGGGGGAGCUCCCCAAAGCCAUCGUGGAUCAUGCUGUGGCGGCGGGGAGCAGGGGAGGAUUUGGGCGAUGGGCAUGAGGGAAGGAGCAGCGAGGUCAGAGUUCCAGGCGGUGCCGGCCGUUGUCACAUGUCCCCAGUCUAGGUUGCCCAUCUUGAUGUGUCUUAGGAGAUGAAUGCCAUGGAUUGGCAAGAUUCUUGCUAAGCUGACAACUAAUUAAACUAUUUGUCCCAUUGUUAAAGCUAAUCAUAGUCAUAUGUGGUGAUCGUCCGACUGCUGCGUAUGGUGGCAACCGAAUUCUUGAUGAUGAACCGAAUCAAAUACGUAGUAAAGUCAGCGCUAAAUCACAAGUAUAUAUUCAGGUUCAGUACACUCAAGCUGUCGAGGAGGUUACUCAGACCUGUAGAUUUUGUAUGACAAGAAAAUUACUUGAAAGAAAUAGGUACAGCCACUGUGAUAAAUAUCAGUAGUAAGCAUUGUAUAUGUAUGCAGUAGUAUAGUAAGACAAGAAAAAUACUUGAAAGAAAUAGGUGCAGACACUGUGAUAAAUAUCAGUAGCAUGCACUAUAUAUGUAUGCAGAACAGACCAUAAUCAUGAUUUUGCAUUGCUUGGACCAAGAUUUGUAUGCACCGAUCACCGAUUCUGUCUUUAGGGGUUACAGGAAAAUGACAUAUAUCAGCCAGUGCAACCACUAAUAGUGCAAUUGUGUAUUUACAGAAAGGAAGCAGGUCAACCAUGCAGUAUUAGAGUAAGAUACUACAUGUAAAAGUACCAUCUAAAAAUGACAGAUACAUUACUUCGUGAGAAAUCUCGGUAGGAAAGUAGUGACUCUUUUUGUCAAUGGAUUGUGUACAGUGAACUGGAUUAUGCAAUGAUCGGUUGAUUCAGAGCUCUUGUAUCUUGAGUGGCAUUCACCUUUGGGCAAUUCAAGCGACAACAGGGCGAGACUACCAGCUGGUGAAGGAUAGGAUAUGUAUUCGGCGUGUCCUGAAGAGGUAGUCCACGAACCGGCAAUGGAGGAAAUAAGGUAGAGACGACAAUAGCAGCAAGUACGUCAAGUGCUAGGGAUGUGGAUAUGGUGUGGCAUAAAGAGGCUGAUCUUCUUGCUCAGUAUAAGCCAACAAUGGAGAAACUGACA